AUGGACGAACCGGCCUUCCGGAGGUGCAGUGGCCUCGGCGGUGUCCGGUGCUACCUGCUCCCCCCGGCGGCCGCGAUCAACAGCACGAGCCUCUCCUCGGAGCAGCUCUACAUCUCCGGCGGCUUCAUACGCAUGAUGUGGCUGCGCAUUCGCCUACUCGGCGACGUCCUCAAGCACGGCUAUAGCUUCAUAUUCACGGAUAUGGAUGUGGUGUGGCUGAGGAACCCGUUCCCGAGCCUGAAUCGCACCGAGGAGGAAGACCUCCUGAUCAGCACCGACGGGUUCAAGGGGCGGCCGGAGGACUACCUCGGCCACGAGCUCAACACCGGAUUCUUCUUCAUGGCGGCCAGCAACCGGACGGCGGCGAUGUUCGACGAGUGGCACGCGGCACGGGAGGCGUCGGAUGGCAUGAAGGAGUAG
rnacentral:rRNA from 1 species